rnacentral:ncRNA from 3 species
UCGCAGCCCGGCUUGAACGGAGCUCUUUUUGUGGAGCAAAGCGGAACAAAAAAGCGGGAGUGGAAGACGGAUUAAGC